UACGUAGGGUGCAAGCGUUGUCCGGAAUUAUUGGGCGUAAAGAGCUCGUAGGCGGUUUGUCGCGUCGGCUGUGAAAACUCGGGGCUCAACCCCGAGCCUGCAGUCGAUACGGGCAGACUAGAGGCAGGUAGGGGAGAACGGAAUUCCCGGUGUAGCGGUGAAAUGCGCAGAUAUCGGGAGGAACACCGGUGGCGAAGGCGGUUCUCUGGGCCUGUACUGACGCUGAGGAGCGAAAGCGUGGGGAGCGAACAGG
rnacentral:rRNA from 1 species